rnacentral:rRNA from 1 species
UACAGAGGUGGCAAGCGUUGUUCGGAAUUACUGGGCGUAAAGGGCGCGUAGGUGGCCUUCUUAGUCAGACGUGAAAUCCCCAGGCUUAACCUGGGAACUGCAUCCGAUACUGGAUGGCUUGAAUUCGGGAGAGGGAUGCAGAAUUCCAGGUGUAGCGGUGAAAUGCGUAGAUAUCUGGAGGAAUACCGGUGGCGAAGGCGGCAUCCUGGACCGACAUUGACGCUGAGGAGCGAAAGCUAGGGGAGCAAACGGG